rnacentral:rRNA from 1 species
GCCAUGCCGCGUGGGUGAAGAAGGCCUAUCGGGUUGUAAAGCCCUUUUGUUGGGAAAGAAAAGCAGUCGGUUAAUACCCGAUUGUUCUGACGGUACCCAAAGAAUAAGCACCGGCUAACUUCGUGCCAGCAGCCGCGGUAAUACGAAGGGUGCAAGCGUUACUCGGAAUUACUGGGCGUAAAGCGUGCGUAGGUGGUGGUUUAAGUCUGUUGUGAAAGCCCUGGGCUCAACCUGGGAAUUGCAGUGGAUACUGGGUCACUAGAGUGUGGUAGAGGGUAGCGGAAUUCCCGGUGUAGCAGUGAAAUGCGUAGAGAUCGGGAGGAACAUCCGUGGCGAAGGCGGCUACCUGGACCAACACUGACACUGAGGCACGAAAGCGUGGGGAGCAAACAGGAUUAGAUACCCUGGUAGUCCACGCCCUAAACGAUGCGAACUGGAUGUUGGGUGCAAUUUGGCACGCAGUAUCGAAGCUAACGCGUUAAGUUCGCCGCCUGGGGAGUACGGUCGCAAGACUGAAACUCAAAGGAAUUGACGGGGGCCCGCACAAGCGGUGGAGUAUGUGGUUUAAUUCGAUGCAACGCGAAGAACCUUACCUGGUCUUGACAUCCACGGAACUUUCCAGA